AGAGUUUGAUCCUGGCUCAGGAUGAACGCUAGCGGCAGGCCUAAUACAUGCAAGUCGAACGGGGUCCUUCGGGGCCCAGUGGCGCACGGGUGCGUAACGCGUAUGCAACCUACCUUCGACUGGGGGAUAGCCCGGAGAAAUCCGGAUUAAUACCGCAUAACGCGACUUGAGGACAUCCGAAGGUCGCUAAAGAUUCACCGGUCGGAGAUGGGCAUGCGUGCCAUUAGCUAGUUGGUGGGGUAACGGCCCACCAAGGCGACGAUGGCUAGGGGUUCUGAGAGGACGGUCCCCCACACUGCCACUGAGAUACGGGCCAGACUCCUACGGGAGGCAGCAGUAGGGAAUAUUGGGCAAUGGGCGGAAGCCUGACCCAGCCAUGCCGCGUGCAGGAUGAAGGCCUUCUGGGUUGUAAACUGCUUUUAUCGGGGAAGAAAACGCCCAUGCGUGGGAAACUGACGGUACCCGAGGAAUAAGCACCGGCUAACUCCGUGCCAGCAGCCGCGGUAAUACGGAGGGUGCAAGCGUUGUCCGGAUUUAUUGGGUUUAAAGGGUGCGUAGGCGGCCCCUUAAGUCAGCGGUGAAAGCCCGGGGCUCAACCCCGGAACCGCCGUUGAUACUGGGGGGCUUGAGUACAGACGAGGUAGGCGGAAUUGAGGGUGUAGCGGUGAAAUGCUUAGAUACCCUCAAGAACACCGAUUGCGUAGGCAGCUUACUAGGCUGUGACUGACGCUGAGGCACGAAAGCGUGGGGAGCGAACAGGAUUAGAUACCCUGGUAGUCCACGCCGUAAACGAUGAUUACUUGAUGUCGGCGACAGACUGUCGGCGUCUUAGCGAAAGCGUUAAGUAAUCCACCUGGGGAGUACGCCCGCAAGGGUGAAACUCAAAGGAAUUGACGGGGGACC
rnacentral:rRNA from 1 species